GGGGAAUAUUGGGCAAUGGGCGAAAGCCUGACCCAGCAACGCCGCGUGAGGGAAGAAGGGUUUCGGCUCGUAAACCUCUGUCCUAUGGGACGAAGGAAGUGACGGUACCAUAGGAGGAGGCCCCGGCUAACUACGUGCCAGCAGCCGCGGUAAUACGUAGGGGGCGAGCGUUGUCCGGAAUGAUUGGGCGUAAAGGGCGCGUAGGCGGCCUGCUAAGUCUGAAGUGAAAGUCCUGCUUUCAAGGUGGGAAGUGCUUUGGAUACUGGUGGGCUGGAGUGCAGGAGAGGAAAGCGGAAUUACCGGUGUAGCGGUGAAAUGCGUAGAGAUCGGGAGGAACACCAGUGGCGAAGGCGGCCUACUGGGCACCAACUGACGCUGAGGCUCGAAAGUGUGGGUAGCAAACAGGAUUAGAUACCCUGGUAGUCCACACUGUAAACGAUGAUUACUAGGUGUUGGAGGAUUGACCCCUUCAGUGCCGCAGUUAACACAAUAAGUAAUCCACCUGGGGAGUACGACCGCAAGGUUGAAACUCAAAGGAAUUGACGGGGGCCCGCACAAGCAGUGGAGUAUGUGGUUUAAUUCGACGCAACGCGAAGAACCUUACCAAGUCUUGACAUCCCUUGACGAUGCUGGAAACAGUAUUUCUCUUCGGAGCAAGGAGACAGGUGGUGCAUGGUUGUCGUCAGCUCGUGUCGUGAGAUGUUGGGUUAAGUCCCGCAACGAGCGCAACCCUUAUGGUCAGUUACUACGCAAGAGGACUCUGGCCAGACUGCCGUUGACAAAACGGAGGAAGGUGGGGAUGACGUCAAAUCAUCAUGCCCUUUAUGACUUGGGCUACACACGUACUACAAUGGCGUUAAACAAAGAGAAGCAAGACCGCGAGGUGGAGCAAAACUCAGAAACAACGUCCCAGUUCGGACUGCAGGCUGCAACUCGCCUGCACGAAGUCGGAAUUGCUAGUAAUCGUGGAUCAGCAUGCCACGGUGAAUACGUUCCCG
rnacentral:rRNA from 1 species